AUGAAGAAACAGAUACAACAGUUUGUGCAAUCUUGUCUCAUUUGUCAGCAGGCCAAACCUGAGAGAGUGGCUUAUCCUGGGUUGCUAUCACCACUGCCUGUUCCUGCAAAAGCCUGGGAAACAAUGACAAUGGACUUCAUCUCAGGAUUGCCAUCGUCUGAUCAGUAUGAUUGCAUCAUGGUGGUCACUGACAAAUUUACAAAGUAUGGUCAUUUCAUACCUGUCAAACAUCCCUAUACAGCCCGGAAAAUUGCGGAACUCUUUCUGGACAAUAUUUACAAGCUCCAUAGCAUGCCUCUCUCUAUAAUAUCAGAUAGAGAUCCAGUUUUCACCAGUAAAUUUUGGCAAUCUCUGGUGAAGAGGACAGGAGCUGUGCUUAAUAUGAGCACAUCAUAUCAUCUUGAAACUGAUGGACAAAUAGAACGUGUCAAUCAGCAAGUGGAGUGUUUUUUGAGGUGUUUCAUCAGUGCUCAUUCGAACAAGUGGGCAAAGUGGCUUUCACUUUGUGAGUUUUGGUACAAUACCAACUGGCAUUCAGCACUUGACAAAUCUCCAUUUGAGGUUCUUUAUGGUUAUGGGCCUCGGCAUUUUGGAAUUUCAGCUUCAGACUCGGUUGAUCCUGUUGAUUUGCAACAGUGGUUGGAUGUGCGAGCAGUGGUUCAGCAGUCAGUGCGGCAGCAUUUGUUGCGUGUUCAACAAAGAAUGAAACAUCAAGCUGAUAAGAAGCGCACUGAAAGGACGUUUGCUGUGGGAGAUCGAGUAUUCCUUAAGCUCCAGCCGUAUGUACAAUCAUCAGUGGUUCACAGAGCAAAUCACAAACUUGCGUUCAAGUAUUUCGGUCCGUUUCUGAUUCUGGAGAAGAUCGGCGAAGUGGCUUAUCGUUUGCAAUUACCAGCAGCUAGCCAUAUUCACUCUGUAUUCCAUGUUUCACAGUUGAAGCGCUGUGUGCAUCCACAACAUGAGGUACUCAAGUCGCUUCCUCCUGUU
rnacentral:rRNA from 1 species